rnacentral:rRNA from 1 species
AUUGAACGCUGGCGGCACGCCUAACACAUGCAAGUCGAGCGGCAGCAUGCUUAGUAGCAAUACUAAGUGAUGGCGAGCGGCGGACGGGUGAGGAACACGUAGGAACAUACCCAGAAGCGGGGGACAACUAAGGGAAACUUUAGCUAAUACCGCGUAAUCUCGAGAGAGGAAAGCUACCCGCAAGAGCGGCGCUUUUGGAGUGGCCUGCGGCCGAUUAGCUAGUUGGUAGGGUAAAAGCCUACCAAGGCAAUGAUCGGUAACUGGUCUGAGAGGCCGAACAGUCACACUGGAAAUGAGACACGGCCCAGAAUCCUACGGGAGGCAGCAGUGGGGAAUAGUGGACAAUGGGGGCAACCCUGAUCCAGGGAUGCCGCGUGGGUGAAGAAGGCCUUCGGGUUGUAAAGCCCUUUAGGUUGGGACGAAGGAUGGCAGUUUGAGAGAUAGCCAUUUUGACGGUACCGACAGAAUAAGCACCGGCAAACUCUGUGCCAGCAGCCGCCGUAA